AGUAUAUGCCUCGCAAGUCCGGGAGGUACGGGUGGCUCUGGGUGCUGUGUGAUGCCAGGACGAUCUACUGCUGGCAAACCGAUGCCAUUAAUGUCAGGAGAGAGUGCAUCAUCACAGCCCUCUGUGUACCUGAACGAAGAGCCUGAGAACCUCGUGAAAGAAUACAUGAACACAGAUUGUGAAAGCAGUGAAGCUGCAAUGAUGGAGACAAUGUUUGGAAUCUGCCAUUUGCCAAGAAGGUGCAGAGCCAGAUGAUGAAGCAGAAGAUGUAGGUAUCAUUCUGGAGGCUGUGCAAGUUCUGGAUUAGUUGCUGUGGUCAUGUUGUUCGCACUUGUAUACGCUCUGAAUCUCAGCUACCCUCCAGAGCUGAGACACACGUUUGAGGCUUUGCAGAAAAUAAUCAUGGAGCUUGACGGAAACACUCUUUAAAAAAAAAAAUUAAGCACUGAAAACUCUACUUGCACGUUAGUCAUCAACAAUAGUGACCUAGGGGUUACUCUUAUGGGAAGGCAGUUGUGAAGACAUUUGAUGAGUAAUUUGCUUUAAAAAAAAUGGCAAGCUGUGUUUGUGUUUUACUACUUACAACUGUUGCUAUUUUUGGGUUAGAAAACAGAAUAAUAUUGUGAAAUGUCUCUUUAAAAGGGAAAAGUGCUCUUUUCAAAAGGAAACUGCUGCAUAUAAAAGUGCUGAAUGUGAAAGACACUUACAAUUAUUAGGAUGC